AACAAGGUCUCGUAGUGACCUGCGGAGGGAUCAUUACAGAGUUCAGGCCCCUCGGGGCAGAUCUCCCACCCUUGUGUAUUUAUACCUCUGUUGCUUUGGCAGGCCGCUGGGUUUCGACCUGGCCACCGGCUCUGGGGCUGGUGUGCGCCUGCCAGAGGACCCCCAAACUCUGGUUAUCAGUGUCGUCUGAGUAUUAUACAAUUGUUAAAACUUUCAACAACGGAUCUCUUGGUUCUGGCAUCGAUGAAGAACGCAGCGAAAUGCGAUAAGUAAUGAGAAUUGCAGAAUUCAGUGGAUCAUCGAAUCUUUGAACGCACAUUGCGCCCCUUGGUAUUCCGAGGGGCAUGCCUGUUCGAGCGUCAUUUCAACCCUCAAGCUCUGCUUGGUCUUGGGCCUGGCCGUGAUGGCCGGUCUUAAAAUCAGUGGCGGUGCCGUCGCAGGCUCCAAGCGUAGUACAUCUCUCGCUCUGGAAACUUGGCGGUGCCUGCCAGACAACCCCUAAUUGUCUCUUUCGGUGACCUCGAUCAGGAGGGAUACCCGCUGAACUUAAGCAUAUCAAUAAGCGGAGGAAAAGAAACAACCGGGAUUGCCUCAGUAACGGCGAGUGAAGCGGCAACAGCUCAAAUUUGAAAUCUGGCUCCUUCGGGGUCCGAGUUGUAAUUUGUAGAAGAUGCUUUGGGUGUGGCCCUGGUCUAAGUUCCUUGGAACAGGACGUCAUAAAGGGUGAGAAUCCCGUACGUGGCUGGAGGCCUACGCCCAUGUAAAGCUUUUUCGACGAGUCAGUUGUUUGGGAAUGCAGCUCUAAAUGGGUGGUAAAUUUCAUCUAAAGCUAAAUAUUGGCCAGAGACCGAUAGCGCACAAGUAGAGUGAUCGAAAGAUGAAAAGCACUUUGGAAAGAGAGUUAAAUAGUACGUGAAAUUGUGAAAGGGAAGCGCUUGCAACCAGACUUGCAC
rnacentral:rRNA from 1 species